CAGUAGCCGCGGUAAUACGUAGGGUGCGAGCGUUAAUCGGAAUUACUGGGCGUAAAGGGCGCGUAGGCGGGCGAAUAAGUCAGGGGUGAAAUCCCAAGGCUCAACCUUGGAACUGCCUUUGAUACUGUUUGUCUUGAGUUCGAGAGAGGUAAGUGGAACUGCGAGUGUAGAGGUGAAAUUCGUAGAUAUUCGCAAGAACACCAGUGGCGAAGGCGGCUUACUGGCUCGAAACUGACGCUGAGGAGCGAAAGCGUGGGGAGCGAACAGGAUUAGAUACCCCGGUAGUCCCUGUCUCUUAUAA
rnacentral:rRNA from 1 species